rnacentral:rRNA from 1 species
GACGAACGCUGGCGGCGUGCUUAACACAUGCAAGUCGAACGGAAAGGCCCUUCUUUUGUGGGGUGCUCGAGUGGCGAACGGGUGAGUAACACGUGAGUAACCUGCCCUUGACUUUGGGAUAACUUCAGGAAACUGGGUCUAAUACCGGAUAGGAGCUCCUGCUGCAUGGUGGGGGUUGGAAAGUUUCGGCGGUUGGGGAUGGACUCGCGGCUUAUCAGCUUGUUGGUGGGGUAGUGGCUUACCAAGGCUUUGACGGGUAGCCGGCCUGAGAGGGUGACCGGCCACAUUGGGACUGAGAUACGGCCCAGACUCCUACGGGAGGCAGCAGUGGGGAAUAUUGCACAAUGGGCGGAAGCCUGAUGCAGCAACGCCGCGUGCGGGAUGACGGCCUUCGGGUUGUAAACCGCUUUCGCCUGUGACGAAGCGUGAGUGACGGUAAUGGGUAAAGAAGCACCGGCUAACUACGUG